AAUAGAAUUCCUAAAGAAUAAAAAAAAUCUAAAUUUCCUAAUUUUAUAAUGAAUAGAAUUCCUGAGUGGAGUCUUCUUCCAAUACUGCAUCAGCUACUCAUCAUCAUCAUCUUUUUUUUGUUGUUUCUGUUGUUUAGGUUACGAGUAUAACUUCUUUAUUUUAAUUCCCUUUUGCUUUCUUAAUUAAUUUUCUUUUAGGCCUAUUGAAUAAAAUAAAUCCAAAAUUUUUAGGCUUUUCACGA
rnacentral:misc_RNA from 1 species